AGUGAACGCUGGCGGUAGGCCUAACACAUGCAAGUCGAACGGCAGCACAGUAAGAGCUUGCUCUUACGGGUGGCGAGUGGCGGACGGGUGAGGAAUACAUCGGAAUCUACUUUUUCGUGGGGGAUAACGUAGGGACACUUACGCUAAUACCGCAUACGACCUACGGGUGAAAGCAGGGGAUCUUCGGCUCUUGCGCGAUUGAAUGAGCCGAUGUCGGAUUAGCUAGUUGGCGGGGUAAAGGCCCACCAAGGCGACGAUCCGUAGCUGGUCUGAGAGGAUGAUCAGUCACACUGGAACUGAGACACGGUCCAGACUCCUACGGGAGGCAGCAGUGGGGAAUAUUGGACAAUGGGCGCAAGCCUGAUCCAGCCAUACCGCGUGGGUGAAGAAGGCCUUCGGGUUGUAAAGCCCUUUUGUUGGGAAAGAAAAGCAGCAGGUUAAUACCCCGCUGUUCUGACGUUACCCAAAGAAUAAGCACCGGCUAACUUCGUG
rnacentral:rRNA from 1 species